CCUACGGGAGACAGCAGUGAGGAAUAUUGGUCAAUGGGCUUACGCCUGAACCAGCCAAGUCGCGUGAGGGAAGACUGCCCUAUGGGUUGUAAACCUCUUUUGUCAGGGAGCAACGCCGGCUACGUGUAGCCGGACUGAGAGUACCUGAAGAAAAAGCAUCGGCUAACUCCGUGCCAGCAGCCGCGGUAAUACGGAGGAUGCGAGCGUUAUCCGGAGUUAUUGGGUUUAAAGGGUGCGUAGGCGGAAUGCCAAGUCAGCGGUAAAAUCGCGGGGCUCAACCUCGCUCCGCCGUUGAAACUGGCGUUCUUGAGUGGGCGAGAAGUAUGCGGAAUGCGGGGUGUAGCGGUGAAAUGCAUAGAUAGCACGCAGAACUACGAUUGCGAAGGCAGCAUACCGGCGCCCAACUGACGCUGAAGCACGAAAGCGUGGGUAUCGAACAGGAUUAGAUACCCUAGUAGUC
rnacentral:rRNA from 1 species